GAAAUGCGAUAAAUAAUGUGAAUUGCAGAAUUCAGUGAAUCAUCGAAUCUUUGAACGCACCUUGCGCUCCUUGGUAUUCCUCGGAGCAUGCCUGUUUGAGUAUCAUGAAAUCUUCAAAGUAAAUCUUUUGUUAACUCAAUUGGUUUCUACUUUGGUAUUGGAGGUCUUUGCAGCUUCACACCUGCUCCUCUUUGUUCAUUAGCUGGAUCUCAGUGUUAUGCUUGGUUCCACUCGGCGUGAUAAGUUAUCUAUCGCUGAGGACACUGUAAAAGGUGGCCAAGGUAAAUGCAGAUGAACCGCUUCUAAUAGUCCAUUGACUUGGACAAUACUUUUAUGAUCUGAUCUCAAAUCAGGUAGGACUACCCGCUGAACUUAAGC
rnacentral:misc_RNA from 1 species